rnacentral:lncRNA from 1 species
GGGUGUUUUGAAUGAAAAUUUUAAACACCUAACCCUUCUAUUGUGCCACCAGAACCCAACAGGACAUAUUCCUUUCAAUCUCCCACUUACACUAAAGCCAAUCAUCCUUAUAUUUUAUCCCCAUACAAUCGAGGUGGCGAUCGAAUUACUACUGUGGUAAAGCUUUAGUGAAGGGAUCUGAUAUGUUGUUCUUUGUUUCUACUCGUUCAAUGACAAUAUCUUAUCUUUUGAUUAUUU